rnacentral:rRNA from 1 species
UACGAAGGGGGCUAGCGUUGCUCGGAAUCACUGGGCGUAAAGGGUGCGUAGGCGGGGCUUUAAGUCAGGGGUGAAAUCCUGGAGCUCAACUCCAGAACUGCCUUUGAUACUGAAGAUCUUGAGUCCGGGAGAGGUGAGUGGAACUGCGAGUGUAGAGGUGAAAUUCGUAGAUAUUCGCAAGAACACCAGUGGCGAAGGCGGCUCACUGGCCCGGUACUGACGCCGAGGAGCGAAAGCAUGGGGAGCGAACAGG